UUACCUGACCUUAAAGAUGCUGAAGCUGUUCAGAAGUUCUUCCUUGAAGAAAUACAGCUUGGUGAAGAGUUACUAGCUCAAGUAUUUAUAGGAAGGAAUGGCUAAUGUAAGGUCCCAGAGAAGGUUAAUUUACCUAAUCAAGGUCACACGGUGAAUAUGAGAAGGGCGUAGACCAUCUGACAAAUGCAAUUGCUGUGUGUGGACAGCCACAGCAGUUACUGCAGGUCUUACAGCAAACUCUUCCACCACCAGUGUUCCAGAUGCUUCUGACUAAGCUCCCAACAAUUAGUCAGAGAAUUGUAAGUGCUCAGAGCUUGGCUGAAGAUGAUGUGGAAUGAGAAACAAAUGUCAACAUAAUAAAAUCUCAGUUAAAAAUA
rnacentral:ncRNA from 2 species